UACGAAGGUGGCAAGCGUUGUUCGGAUUUACUGGGCGUACAGGGAGCGUAGGCGGUUGGGUAAGCCCUUCGUGAAAUCUCCGGGCCUAACCCGGAAAGUGCGGAGGGGACUGCUCGGCUAGAGGAUGGGAGAGGAGCGCGGAAUUCCCGGUGUAGCGGUGAAAUGCGUAGAGAUCGGGAGGAAGGCCGGUGGCGAAGGCGGCGCUCUGGAACAUUUCUGACGCUGAGGCUCGAAAGCGUGGGGAGCAAACAGG
rnacentral:rRNA from 1 species